rnacentral:Y_RNA from 1 species
GGCUGGACCGAGAGGAGUGGUGUUUACAACUAAUUGAUCACACUAGUUAUACAUUUCUUUGUUCUUUCUCCAUGCCCACUGCUUCACUUGUCUAGCCUUUA